AAACCGACUUUCAGCUGGAGCUUAGUCUCUUCUCCUCCGCCCCAGAGGAGUAAAUAAAGAAACAAAGCAAUGCUCCUCGUGCGCCUUGGGAUCUGGCCCUUUCAAGGAAUCUCUUUGUCAAGCAAAGAAUCCUUUUGUAAAUGUCUUCCUGUCAGGGCUCUGGCCCACCGACAUCGAUCACGCAAGCCCGGAAGGUGGUGACGGUGGGAUGGUCCUUGGAGCCAGCCCCAGGAUGCUCCCCGGCUGUGGAUGACCCAGCCGCCAGCCCCCUACGGAUGCCGCGCCCCAGUCUUCUGACCCGGGG
rnacentral:lncRNA from 1 species